rnacentral:rRNA from 1 species
GGCGGCGUGCUUAACACAUGCAAGUCGAACGGGUCUGCCUUGUUUCUUGCGGGGUGGGUCAGUGGCGAACGGGUGAGUAACACGUGAGUAACCUGCCCCUCACUUCUGGAUAACCGCUUGAAAGGGUGGCUAAUACGGGGUGUUCUGGCUGUGCCGCAUGGUGUGGCUGGGAAAGAUUCACUUUUGUGGUGUUUUGGUGGGGGAUGGGCUCGCGGCCUAUCAGCUUGUUGGUGGGGUGAUGGCCUGCCAAGGCUUUGACGGGUAGCCGGCCUGAGAGGGUGGGCGGUCACACUGGGACUGAGAUACGGCCCAGACUCCUGCGGGAGGCAGCAGUGGGGGGUAUUGCACAAUGGGCGGAAGCCUGAUGCAGCGACGUCGCGUGAGGGAUGGAGGCCUUCGGGUUGUGAACCUCUUUCGCCGGUGAAGAAGGUCCUGCUUCC